rnacentral:lncRNA from 1 species
AGAGAGAGAGAGAUAACCCGAACUCGAGAGUGAGACGCAUGUCUUCUUCGAAUUGCUCGAUCUAGAGGAGGGAGCAGAAGGGAAAGGGUAAGAGACUAGGAGUUAAAGAGGAACGGAGAUUCGAACCUCGCACUAAACCCUAAUUUGGUAUCUUGGAAGAAGGCCUGCAGGAGGAAUCCGCAAAGGCCGAAACCAAGGGGAAGCUGAUCCCCGCCCAGCCUUGUCCUGGGCCAUAUUUUGGAUAAGUG